rnacentral:rRNA from 1 species
AUUGAACGCUGGCGGCAGGCCUAACACAUGCAAGUCGAACGAGUGGCGGACGGGUGAGUAAUGUCUGGGAAACUGCCUGAUGGCGGGGGAUAACUACUGGAAACGGUCGCUAAUACCGCAUACCAUCGGAUGUGCCCAGAUGGGAUUAGCUAGUAGGUGGGGUAAAGGCUCACCUAGGCGACGAUCCCUAGCUGGUCCGAGAGGAUGACCAGCCAAACUGGAACUGAGAGACGGUCAGGACUCCUACGGGAGGCAGCAGUGGGGAAUAGGGCACUAUGGGCGCAGGCCUGAUGCAGCCAUGCCGCGUGUAUGAAGAAGGCCUUCGGGUUGUAAGGUACUUUCAGCGGGGAGGCGUUACCCGCAGAAGAAGCACCGGCUAACUCCGUGCCAGCAGCCGCGGUAAUUC